rnacentral:rRNA from 1 species
ACGCAACGCGAAGAACCUUACCUAACCCUUGACAUGUCCGGAACUUGCCAGAGAUGGCUUGGUGCCCGAAAGGGAAUCGGAACACAGGUGCUGCAUGGCUGUCGUCAGCUCGUGUCGUGAGAUGUUGGGUUAAGUCCCGCAACGAGCGCAACCCUUAUCAUUAGUUGCUACGCAAGGGCACUCUAAUGAGACUGCCGGUGACAAACCGGAGGAAGGUGGGGAUGACGUCAAGUCCUCAUGGCCCUUAUGGGUAGGGCUUCACACGUCAUACAAUGGUCGGUACAGAGGGUUGCCAAGCCGCGAGGCGGAGCCAAUCCCACAAAGCCGAUCGUAGUCCGGAUUGUUCUCUGCAACUCGAGAGCAUGAAGUCGGAAUCGCUAGUAAUCGCAGGUCAGCAUACUGCGGUGAAUACGUUCCCGGGUCUU